AUACCUAAUACGUUGCCUCGGCGGGAACAGACGGCCCCGUAACACGGGCCGCCCCCGCCAGAGGACCCCCUAACUCUGUUUCUAUUAUGUUUUUUCUGAGUAAACAAGCAAAUAAAUCAAAACUUUCAACAACGGAUCUCUUGGCUCUGGCAUCGAUGAAGAACGCAGCGAAAUGCGAUAAGUAAUGUGAAUUGCAGAAUUCAGUGAAUCAUCGAAUCUUUGAACGCACAUUGCGCCCGCCAGUAUUCUGGCGGGCAUGCCUGUUCGAGCGUCAUUACAACCCUCAGGCCCCCGGGCCUGGCGUUGGGGAUCGGCGGAAGCCCCCUGUGGGCGCAACGCCGUCCCCCAAAUACAGUGGCGGUCCCGCCGCAGCUUCCAUUGCGUAGUAGCUAACACCUCGCAACUGGAGAGCGGCGCGGCCACGCCGUAAAACACCCAACUUCUGAAUGUUGACCUCGAAUCAGGUAGGAAUACCCGCUGAACUUAAACAAUCAUAAG
rnacentral:rRNA from 1 species